GCAUUAGUGGUUCAGUGGUAGAACUCUCACCUUCCAUGCAGGAGACCGGGUUCAAUUCCAGGUCAGUGCA
rnacentral:tRNA from 1 species